CAGUCGCCGCGGUAAUACGUAGGGUGCGAGCGUUAAUCGGAAUUACUGGGCGUAAAGCGUGCGCAGGCGGUUAUGUAAGACAGGUGUGAAAUCCCCGGGCUUAACCUGGGAACUGCGCUUGUGACUGCACAGCUAGAGUAUGGCAGAGGGGGGUGGAAUUCCACGUGUAGCAGUGAAAUGCGUAGAGAUGUGGAGGAACACCGAUGGCGAAGGCAGCCCCUGGGCCAAUACUGACGCUCAUGCACGAAAGCGUGGGGAGCAAACAGGAUUAGAUACCCCAGUAGUCCCUGUCUCUUAUACA
rnacentral:rRNA from 1 species